rnacentral:tRNA from 1 species
GCCGGGGUGGCGGAACUGGCAGACGCACAGGACUUAAAAUCCUGUGGCCCGAAAGGGCCGUGUGGGAUCGUCCCCCACCCCCGGCACCA